UACGUAGGGGGCAAGCGUUGUCCGGAAUCAUUGGGCGUAAAGAGCGCGCAGGCGGUCGUCCAAGUCGCGUGUGAAAGCCCCCGGCUCAACUGGGGAGGGUCACGCGAUACUGGUCGACUCGAAGGCAGGAGAGGGUAGUGGAAUUCCCGGUGUAGUGGUGAAAUGCGUAGAUAUCGGGAGGAACAUCAGUUGCGAAGGCGGCUCUCUGGACCAGCACUGACACUGAGGCACGAAAGCGUGGGGAGCAAACAGG
rnacentral:rRNA from 1 species